CCCAGGCCCGGGGAGGGCCAGCCUGGCUGCUCACGGGACCCUCCCUUGUUGGCCCGGCCGUGGCCGGGAACCCACGCGUGGCCGGUGCGCGCUGCCAGUGCUGUAGCUGAGGUUCGGGUUCGGCCCGCGCCCGGCGUGAACAAAGCGGCGGCCAAGGCCUGGGACUGCGGGGACUGAGCCGCCGGCUCCACGCCGCCCCCAGGCCCAGAAGAAACACCGACUGCGGGCCAGGCACAGCACCCGGCCGGGGAAAGGACCCCCCGAGUUACGCGCAAACUUUCUUCGAAUGGCGCCCAGCCUCAGGGCCGACUCCCCGCGCCUACCUCGGCUCUCCGGGCCGCCUCCCGCUGCUGCCCGAUUCCGCGUCCGGAGCGAGCGGGAGCUGCAGCGGGCUCCGCGGACCGGGCGCGGGACUAAAGAGUGUCCAAUAAACGCGACUCCAGGGCAGCGUUUUAGGGGAAAGCAAUAAAAACUCACGGUAGAAUGGAAGCUGCCCUGAAGGAAUGGAACUACGAGACUGGGACUGGGGCUGGGACUGGGGCUGUGGGGAGGGAAAGCACAUACAGUGUAAAAACGAUUGUGUGACAUUAAAUCGAAAAGCACAAAUCAUCAUGCAGU